rnacentral:rRNA from 1 species
UACGAAGGGGGGCUAGCGUUGUUCGGAUUUACUGGGCGUAAAAGCGCACGUAGGCGGAUCGAUCAGUCAGGGGUGAAAUCCCAGAGCUCAACUCUGGAACUGCCUUUGAUACUGUCGAUCUGGAGUAUGGAAGAGGUGAGUGGAAUUCCGAGUGUAGAGGUGAAAUUCGUAGAUAUUCGGAGGAACACCAGUGGCGAAGGCGGCUCACUGGUCCAUUACUGACGCUGAGGUGCGAAAGCGUGGGGAGCAAACAGG